GCAUUUAAACCCAGACCAGGAGGGGCUGAUUUGUUUUGGCGCAGGGAACCGAGAAGGAGACGAGCCGCCGAGGUCUCCUUGCUCCUCUCGGAGCCUCCUUAACUCGUCCUUGCCGCCGCCGGCCCGGGGGCGCGGGGACCCCUUCUCCGAGCCGCCCCCCGCAGCCUGCACCCCCUCGGGCGAUUUUGGGGGGCCCCAGGCUCCUGUGCCACCCGCUUGUUCCCCCAGCAGCGAGGUGGCCGCCCGGGUGGCUCUCCGGUGCCCGCACUCCCCAGGAUCCUGUCAAGGCUUCGUCCAGAACAUCUCAGAGGCAGUGGCUGCGGGGAAGUUACUGUUUUGCCAUCCAUGACAGCUGACACCGAUCCCUGAGAAACGGGAGCUGAAGCAGCGUGCGGCGCAGAUUCAGAAAUUCACCUUCCUGCCUGCUCAUUCGGCUCCGCCACGCACAGCAAGGCAUCCGGGCACCCGCACUGAAGGGAUCUCAUCCUGAUUUCCUACUGAUACUAGUGCUUCUUGCAGGUAUUUUAAUUUUUAAACAGGAAUAGUCUUCCACUGCCUGUCAAAGGGAGUGUCAGGAGCGGAGGUACGAGCCGGCUGAUUUUCAGAAAUGGAGAUGCUGAGACCUGCCUACGGGUUUUGUCACGACCGACGUUUUCAUAGCAUGGGGCUAAAUUGUGCUCUUACUUGAGUGCAAUUCUGCAGAUUUAAAUGGAGUUCGUCGUAAGAGGGGACUGGAUUUAGCCAUAAUUUUCUGCUGCUGUCUAAUCACUGUAGUCUGAAGAAAGCAACAUAUGUAUAAUGGUAGCUGAGAUGCAGGAGGGGUAAGAAGCUUUCUACCAAUGAGGAUCGCAUUAAAUAAUUAAUCCCCAAUUGCCUUUCUACAUUAGUGCUUUCAGCUAAAAAAGCCAGUCAGCUUUGUAAGGCCCCAGGCACUGAAACAUUUGGUGCAUUGUCAGUCCGAAAGUCGGGGUAAUAGAUACCCAGGGUGUGCUGGAAAAGUGCUGCUCUCCAUCGGGCCAUUUGCACAUCCAGAUGCACAGCCUCCUUCCUCACCCGUCCUUUUUGUUCCCGGAGUUUGACAGGACAGCAGCUCUUCCAAGGUGGCUGCUGAAGAAGCCAAAAGUGUGUUUAUUUUACCCAAAUCAGAGGAACUGAAUGCUCGAGUCUUAAACCUGAGUAUACAAAAGCAGCAUGUGGGUCUCUUAUCAGGAGACCAAAUCUGGCCAGUUAAUAAGGAAAGGAAUGAAUUUCCCCCUCCUUCCCCAUUUGCCCCCCUUACCCCAUCUGCUGGUCCCCCAAGCUCAGCCUGUAAAGUCAGGUCAAGAUGGGAUCUUUUGGGCUCAUACAUCAUUCACAAUAAAGAUCUUGCCACAAGAAAUGACUUUACAAGCCUUUUGAUGUGCAAGUCAUCGGAGACAGCUCAGCUCACCUUCUGAGACAGAUACACGUGUGUGCGUGCGUGCAUGUGUGUGUGCGUAAAGCUGAAGAAGAAAAGGAAGCAUUGGAAUAAACUGCCCGAGGAGGUGGGAGAUUCACGUUUAAAAACAGGUCUAGACAAACAUCUGUCAGAAAAUACCGCCAUGCAUUUGAUCCUGUCUUGGAGUUGAGGAAAAGGCUGAAUGGAGAUGUCAGGUCCUCUCCAGCCCCGAGACACCGCAGUUAUAUUACACAUACAUAUAUGUCUGGCCAUGCAAGUACAU